AGACGAAGGGGGCGUAGCGUUGUUCGGAAUUACUGGGCGUAAAGCGAGUGUAGGUGGUUGUUCAAGUUGGAUGUGAAAGCCUUGAGCUCAACUCAAGAAAUGCAUUCAGGACUGAGCGACUAGAGGACCGGAGAGGAUAGUGGAAUUCCCAGUGUAGUGGUGAAAUACGUAGAGAUUGGGAAGAACACCAGUGGCGAAGGCGGCUAUCUGGACGGUUUCUGACACUAAGACUCGAAAGCGUGGGGAGC
rnacentral:rRNA from 1 species